CGGAAAACUGGGGAUAAUACCCGAUAGACUAUGGAUGCUGGAAUGCUUCGUAGGUGAAAGGGCCGCCGCGGUAGGAGGGGUCGGCGGCCGAUUAGGUUGUUGUUGGGGUAACGGCCCAACAAGCCUGUAAUCGGUACGGGUUGUGGGAGCAAGAGCCCGGAGAGGGAUUCUGAGACACGAAUCCAGGCCCUACGGGGCGCAGCAGGCGCGAAAACUUUACAAUGCGGGAAACCGUGAUCAGGGAACUCUGAGUGCCCGUCAACUCGGGCUGUCCAUCAGUUUAAAUAACUGGUGAAGAAAGGGCCGGGCAAGACCGGUGCCAGCCGCCGCGGUAACA
rnacentral:rRNA from 1 species